UUUAAAGAGGUACGUGAGCUGGGUUUAGAACCUCGUGAGACAGUUCGGUCCCUAUCUGCCAUGGGCGUUGGAGAUUUGAGAGGGGCUGCUCCUAGUACGAGAGGACCGGAGUGGACACACCUCUGGUGUUUCGGUUGUCACGCCAGUGGCAUUGCCGGGUAGCUAUGUUCGGGAAAGAUAACCGCUGAAAGCAUCUAAGCGGGAA
rnacentral:rRNA from 1 species